CAGCCGCCACGGUAAUGCGAAGGGUGCAAGCGUUAAUCGGAAUUACUGGGCGUAAAGCGUGCGUAGGCGGUGAGUUAAGUCUGCUGUGAAAUCCCCGGGCUCAACCUGGGAAUGGCAGUGGAUACUGGCUCGCUAGAGUGUGUCAGAGGAUGGUGGAAUUCCCGGUGUAGCGGUGAAAUGCGUAGAGAUCGGGAGGAACAUCAGUGGCGAAGGCGGCCAUCUGGGACAACACUGACGCUGAGGCACGAAAGCGUGGGGAGCAAACAGGAUUAGAUACCCCCGUAGUCCCUGUCUCUUAUAC
rnacentral:rRNA from 1 species